rnacentral:tRNA from 1 species
GCCGAAAUAGCUUCAGUUGGGAGAGCGUUAGACUGAAGAUCUAAAGCUCCCUGGUUCGAUCCCGGGUUUCGGCA